GGGAAAAAACUGGACGCAAAGGUCAUUUAUCAGUUGCAACAGAGAUUUUUCAGGUCGCUCCAUCGUUACAUAUGGUAGAGCUCCGCAAAGCUGGAGGGGAUACUUUAGAAUUUCACAAGUUCUAUAAUAACCUCUCAACUGGACUGAAAGAUGUUGUAUGGCGAACCGGAGACGAGACGGAGCAGGAAAGUAACGGUGUAGCAAAUGCUUGAAAGAUCUAUUUGAUUACCUCUCUGUCUGGAGUGGUUGUGCAAAUAUUGUCACCCUCCACCCCCAACAAGACAAGGAAUGAUAUAUUUUUUUUUUUUUUUUUAUGCCAUCUAGGUGUGUGCUUUUGUGAAAUGUUUCCCAUGUUGUGGUAUGAUGAAAUUAAUUGCUUUUUUUUUUUUAAACACCGAGAAAUCUAAGAUUCUUGUGAUAACAUUCUUGUUUUUUGUUCUUUGAGAACUAAAAACAUAAAAGGUGUUUGAUAA